GUAGCUGUGGAUCGCACGACACCAGCUGUAGGGAUUGGUUGAGGAGGCGACGUCGGAUCAACUUGGUGAUGGUUCUUCCCUAAGCAGACCUUGAUCUUCUCCAUUCCUUGCGGUUGAUUGAAGCCUCGAGUGAAGAGGGUUUCUUUGGGUAGCUGUCGACAAGAGGUUUUGUUUGCAGGACAGUGGUGUUUCUUGGUUCCAGUAGUAGCUCCAGUUUUGCUUCCUGCAGCAAUUUUCUCCACAGCAAAUCAAUUGUUGGGGGUAUAUGCUUUGAGAUCAUGAAUAAAGGCCAUCAGCUGGGGCAUUCAGAUCUCUUCACCGAGCUAUUGUAGAUCUACAGGUUGGAUUAGGGACCGUGAUAUGGGA